rnacentral:rRNA from 1 species
CCUACGGGCUGCAGCAGUGGGGAAUAUUGCACAAUGGGCGUAAGCCUGAUGCAGCCAUGCCGCGUGUAUGAAGAAGGCCUCCGGGUUGUAAAGUACUUUCAGCGGGGAGGAAGGCGAUAAGGUUAAUAACCUUGUCGAUUGACGUCACCCGCAGAAGAAGCACCGGCUAACUCCGUGCCAGCAGCCGCGGUAAUACGGAGGGUGCAAGCGUUAAUCGGAAUUACUGGGCGUAAAGCGCACGCACGCGGUCUGUCAAGUCGGAUGUGAAAUCCCCGGGCUCAACCUGGGAACUGCAUUCGAAACUGGCAGGCUGGAGUCUUGUAGAGGGGGGUAGAAUUCCAGGUGUAGCGGUGAAAUGCGUAGAGAUCUGGAGGAAUACCGGUGGCGAAGGCGGCCCCCUGGACAAAGACUGACGCUCAGGUGCGAAAGCGUGGGGAGCAAACAGGAUUAGAUACCCUUGUAGUC